rnacentral:rRNA from 4 species
UGGUCAAGUUAUUAAGGGUGCAGGGCGGAUGCCUUGGCACUAGGAGCCGAUGAAGGACGCGAUAAGCUG